CAGAACAAAGGCCUGGAGACUGGAGCGAGCUGCGUUCUUGGGGGUGGGGGGUGGGGCGGCAGCUGGAGAGUGGGGGCUUCCCCAGCGGGAGAGGGAGGACGAUUCUGGAUGGCUUCCCUCCUUGUGGACAGAGUGAGUCUCUGCUAUGAGAAAGGCUAUUGAGAGUGAAAACAAGCACUGACAUGAACACCCAACCACCUGCCGGUGAUAUCGUCCCCUUCUGAGAUCUGAGGACGUGGAUAUCCAACCACCUGCCGGUGACAUUGUCUCCUUCUGAGAUCUGAGGACAUGGACACCAAACCACCUGCCGGUGACAUUGUCUCCUUCUGAGAUCUGAGGACAUGAACACCAAACCACCUGCCAGUGACAUCGUCCCCUUCUGAGAUCUGAGGACAUGGAUACCCAACCACCUGCCGGUGACAUCGUCUCCUUCUGAGAUCUGAGGACAUGGACACCCAACCACCUGCCGGUGACAUCGUCUCCUUCUGAGAUCUGAGGACAUGAACACCCAACCACCUGCCGGUGAUAUCGUCCCCUUCUGAGAUCUGAGGACGUGGAUAUCCAACCACCUGCCGGUGACAUUGUCUCCUUCUGAGAUCUGAGGACAUGGACACCAAACCACCUGCCGGUGACAUUGUCUCCUUCUGAGAUCUGAGGACAUGAACACCAAACCACCUGCCAGUGACAUCGUCCCCUUCUGAGAUCUGAGGACAUGGAUACCCAACCACCUGCCGGUGACAUCAUCUUCUUCUGAGAUCUGAGGACAUGGACACCCAACCACCUGCCGGUGACAUCGUCUCCUUCUGAGAUCUGAGGACAUGGACACCAAACCACCUGCCGGUGACAUCGUCUCCUUCUGAGAUCUGAGGACAUGAACACCCAACCACCUGCCGGUGAUAUCGUCCCCUUCUGAGAUCUGAGGACGUGGAUAUCCAACCACCUGCCGGUGACAUUGUCUCCUUCUGAGAUCUGAGGACAUGGACACCAAACCACCUGCUGGUGACAUUGUCUCCUUCUGAGAUCUGAGGACAUGAACACCAAACCACCUGCCAGUGACAUCGUCCCCUUCUGAGAUCUGAGGACAUGGAUACCCAACCACCUGCCGGUGACAUCAUCUUCUUCUGAGAUCUGAGGACAUGGACACCCAACCACCUGCCGGUGACAUCGUCUCCUUCUGAGAUCUGAGGACAUGGACACCAAACCACCUGCCGGUGACAUCGUCUCCUUCUGAGAUCUGAGGACAUGAACACCCAACCACCUGCCGGUGACAUCGUCCCCUUCUGAGAUCUGAGGACAUUGAUACCCAGCCACCUGCCGGUGACAUCGUCUCCUUCUGAGAUCUGAGGAUAUGGACACCAAACCACCUGCCGGUGACAUCGUCUCCUUCUGAGAUCUGAGGACAUGAACACCCAACCACCUGCCGGUGACAUCGUCCCCUUCUGAGAUCUGAGGACAUGGAUACCCAACCACCUGCCGGUGACAUCGUCUCCUUCUGAGAUCUGAGGACAUGGACACCCAACCUGCUGCUGGUGACAUCGUUCCCUUCUGAGAUCUGAGGACAUGGACACCAAACCACCUGCCAGUGACAUCGUCUCCUUCUGAGAUCUGAGGACAUGGACACCAAACCUGCUGCCGGUGACAUCGUCCCCUUCUGAGAUCUGAGGACAUGGACACCCAACCACCUGCCGGUGACAUCGUCUCCUUCUGAGGUCUGAGGACAGACACUCACAUGGACACCUAAACACCUGCCGAUGAUAUUGUCUCCUUCUGAAAUCUGAGGACAUGGACACCCAACCAGCUGCUGGUGACAUCAUCUCCUUCUGAGAUCUGAGGACAGACACUCACAUAGACGCCCAAUCAGCUGCUGGUGACAUUGUCUCCUUCUGAAAUCUGAGGGUUGGAACACAUUGGCCUGGCUCAGUGUUUCUCCAUGUGGUUUUGAGACCACCUGAGUUGGAACCGAUAUGGGUUCCCAGCCUCACGCCUGGAGAGCUGGAUUUUGCGAGUGUGAGGUUAGGUCCAGCAUCUGCAUGUGUAACGAGCUCCCAGGUGUUUCGUAGAUGCAUUAGGGCUUGAGAAGCUCCUUUCUAGCACCAUCUUCCUUUUUGCGCAUGAGGGAGUUCAGGUCCAGAGAAAUAAAGCAGCAAGGUUAGUGGCACAGCUGGCGCCCCCUGCUUUCUAGGAAUUUAGAAUAUUAUUGAAGAGAGAGGUAUUAGAACCUGUGAAGUCAAUACAGAGACCUCCAGGCGAGUGGCAUCCUCACUGAAACCACUGACAAGUAUGCUGAAUAGAAAGUGUCAUUUCUCCUGGAAGACCCUCAGUGACCCAGCUGGAGGGUCUCUCCUACUCAUCAGCUGUCCCUCACUCUGCCAUUUCAG
rnacentral:lncRNA from 1 species